GGGGUUGUGGCUCAAAGGUAGAGCGCUCGCCUACCAUGUGUGAGACACUGGGUUCGAUCCUCAGCACUACA
rnacentral:tRNA from 1 species